rnacentral:lncRNA from 1 species
AGACUCAAAUAGCAACUGGAGAUGGUAAGAGGUGAGGCUCCCUCUCCUCCUGGUUGGGAAAGAGGAAGUACAUAACCCCAAUAGCUGCCCGCAGCUAUCAGGAGGCGCGUGGAACGUGACAGCAGUAUGGACGCUCCCCGAGACAGCCUGUGUGUGACUUUGGCGGCUCCUAAUGACCUGUACUCCCUGGUGCUCAUGUCCUGGCAUCGUCACCUCCCUCACUGACUCUGAGCUUGGCCAUGCGUCUAACCUUGGUCAACGGAACAUCAGCCAACGUCUAACCUCGGCCAACGGAACAUCAGCCAUGCGUCCAACCUUGGCCAACGGAACAAGUGAAGGUGAAGAAACUAAGAAUCAGAGGAGUUCUAACUGAGCCAUGAGGACUCGAUUCCUGAAAACCUUAUUUAUAAAAAACAGGAAUGGGAACUAAAACAAGGCAACCUGUGCAAGCCCUUACAAGUUUUUCAUGUAUUACAGUAAAAGGUAAAGCAACUUAAAAACCACUUGACAUUUUUUAACAUUUGUAAAAUUUUGUAAUGCACAGUUGUCUCUCAUUUACCAUCCCUUGCUAGAAACUUCUUAGGCUCACCCUUCACUGCAUUUCCAACAUUAUUUUGCUGAUAAUGUAUACGCCCAAGUGACAUGUUUUCAUUUGGCUUAACUUUCAAUGCCUUUUUGAUUUUAUGAUCUAGUCCUUUAUUGCUGGACCCUUGAAUUGUAUCUAGUCUUCUGCUAUUACAAAAAAUGCUGAAUCAAAUAAACCUGAACAUGUAACAUCAUAAACGUGCAGUUAUAUUUGCACAGCAGGUCACCAGAGUGGGAUGGCUGGGUCAAAGAAAGGUUUAUUUAACCUGAACAGUAUUUCUUAAAACCCUCUUUCCUUUUUCUGAUACAUUACCAAUACAGCCUUAGCUCUAUAAUUAACUCUUAUGCCAAAGCUAGGACUGCAGUGUUGGCUCUCAGAUUUAGGGAGCAAUUGCUGACAUGUGGGUUAUUAUUAUUCCUCAGUUCCCUUUAUCACUCCCAAACCUUAGUUGCAGAUUUCUACAUUUAUUCUAGUAUAAGCUUUAGCUCCCUUAACUAUUUCUAACACAUUUUUCUUUUUCAAUUGUCUCCGUUAGACUGUUGAAAUUUAUAGAUGAACACCAUAACCUUUGAAAUUCUGGCUGAGAAGGUACAUGGUUACAGAUUCAAAUUUUAUGCAGAGGGGAACUUACAGGGGCACAAAAUCAGGAUACAGUUAUUCUUUCUAUUCGCCAUCUGUUACAUUCUCAACCUUUUUUUGCGGUCACCAAUGAAUGAGGAAAAGUUCUGAAAUGAGUUUUAAGAUACUGCUGGUAAUUUCUAAGUAUUAUUUAAAACUAUGAUCUAAACAGAAGAAAAGGGAGUAUCAGGUUACUUUUUUCUGGGUUAAAUCUUUUUGGGGGAAAGGUAGUAGAAAUGUAACUGAAGCGUUACUUCAAUAUUGCUACAAAGUAAAGUUUGGGAAAUUAUCGCUGUUUACAUAGUAGAGGGAAGCAAGUAGAAUUCCAGAUUUUAGCCAUAGAAGGUUUAGAUCAGAUUCUCUGGCAUUAAGGAGCUGACAGUUCAGGAGUGUAAAAAGAAUUUAAAGUAAACUACCUGAUGCCUUGUCUCUAAGUGCCAAGUGUUUUUUUUUUUUUUUUAAAUACUCUGCUAGUGGUUGGGCACGGUGUGUCACGCCUGUAAUCCCAGGACUUUGGGAGGCCAAGGUGGGCAGAUAACGAGGUCAGGACUUAGUUAGAGACCAGACUGGCCAACAUGGUGAAACCCCAUCUCUACUACAAAUACAAAAAAUAGCUGGGUGUGGUGGCAGGCUCCUGUUAACCCAGCUACUUGGGAGGCUGAGGCAGGAAAAUCAUUUGAACCUGUGAGGCGGAGGUUGCAGUGAACCAAGAUCAUGCCAUUGCACUCCAGCCUGGGCAACAGGGCAAGACUCUGUCUCAAAAACAAACAAACAAACAAAAAACCACUAUGCCAACGUAGAAAGAAAUUAAAGUAAACCUUAAUGAAAAGUAUACCACACAUCUCUUUCUUGCCUGUGGUUCUGAACAGGCUAUACAAGCUCACCUGCUAUAGAAAGAGCAUUUGGAACUUAGGCAAAAAUCUCGGUGGACUCUAGUUAACAUGUGUUCAUUUAGAGCAGGGUUUGGCAAGCAUUUUUCUGUAAUGGGCCACAGAGUAAAUUUUUAUAGUAAAUUUUUAUGUUUUGCAGGGCAUAUGGUCUUAGCAGCAAAACACAUGGCCAUGGCUAUGUUCCAAUAAAACUUUACUGAAGCAGGUGGUGACUUUAUUUGGCCUGAGGGCCAUUUGCUGACCUAUGAUUUAGAUAAUAUAUUACAUAUUUUUUCCCCCAAAUGCUCUAACAUUUAUUUAUUUUUUUUAGAUGGAAUCUUGCUCUGUUGCCCAGGCUGGAGUGCAGUGGUGUGAUCUUGCCUCACUGCAACCUCCACCUCCCAGGUUCAAGCAAAUCUCUGCCCCAGCCUCCCUAGUAGCUGGGAUUACAGGCAUCCACCACCAUGCCCGGCUAAUUUUUGUAUUUUUAGUAGAGACCGGGUUUCACUAUCUUGGCCAGGCUGGUCUUGAACUCCUGACCUCAUGAUCCACCCACCUCAGGUUCCUAAAGUGCUGGGAUUACAGGCUUGAGCCACUGCAACCAGCCUUUAACAUUUAUUAAACAUGCCAACUUUUUGAUAUAUGGGGGGAGUAAAGACAUCUUAAUCACUUUUACAGAUUUUACAAAGAAUAUAUUUUGGCUAUUAGCAGAAAUAGAAAAGAGGGCACAGAAUUCUAGCUAGAAGGAACGGAAUCAGGAAAGGCAGGGAGAUGUGACUUCAUAGCACACAGGGAAACUGAAAAAGGUGAACAGGACUGAGAACUGUGACAGAAAAGGAGGACUUAGGAAGGGAAAUGAGCUUUGACAGAAGAAUGAAUUUGAUUUUCGAACUUUUAGAGUUUGGAGGUAAUGGUUAAACAUCCAAGUAGAAUACAUGGAGUUAUCUUAAUACUUGGCACACUACGAACACUCACUGUUAGCUAACUGCGAGCUUCUCGUGAGCUAUUAGAAAUAGAAUAUUAGUGUUAGACUGAGGUUACGGCUGGGGAACUUGCAAGGGAAAAUAUUGAAAACUUAUGGAAGCAGAUUCCUUCAAAGAACUAAGAAGCGAGUACAGUUGAUCCUCAAACAACAUGGAUAUGAA